rnacentral:rRNA from 1 species
UACUAGAGUAGCACUCGCAUAUCAAUAAGCGGAGGAAAAGAAACUAACAAGGAUUCCCCUAGUAACGGCGAGUGAAGCGGGAAGAGCUCAAAUUUGAAAUCUUAAAGGGUUUCCCUUUACGAAUUGUAGUUUAAAGAAGUGUUUUCUGUUGAGGUUUUGGUAAAAGUUCUUUGGAAUAGGACAUCAUAGAGGGUGAGAAUCCCGUAUUUGACCUUUACUUUCAACUUUGUGAUACACUUUCAAAGAGUCGGAUUGUUUGGGAAUGCAGUCCAAAAUGGGUGGUAAAUUUCAUCUAAAGCUAAAUAUUAGGCGAGAGACCGAUAGCGAACAAGUACCGUGAGGGAAAGAUGAAAAGAACUUUGAAAAGAGAGUUAAACAGUACGUGAAAUUGUCAAAAGGGAAGCGUUUGACACCAGUGUUGUUUUUCUGAAAAUCAAUUAAAGAACUGUUUAUGCUAAGUUGUUUAGACUUUAUCAGCUAUCUGCUUAGUUUUGAGCUUUUCUUUAAUGCACUUUUCAGUUAACAAGUCAACAUCAAUUUCUUUUGCUGUAAAAAAGCUUGAGGAAGGUGGCUUGAGAUUCGUCUUAAGUGUUUAUAGCCUCUUGCCUAUGCAGUCGGAGAGAUUGAGGUCUGCAGCGUAGAUCCUUCGGGGCUAAAUGCAUUUGUGCUAAGUUAUAGCAUUUUAUAGACAACUUGUUGACUAUGAUUUGUCUUGUAGCUUACUCGCUUAUGUUAUUUUACCUACGCUUAGGAUGUUGAACUCUAUCACACACAG